rnacentral:rRNA from 1 species
GAACGGGUGAGUAACACGUGGGUGAUCUGCCCUGCACUUUGGGAUAAGCCUGGGAAACUGGGUCUAAUACCGAAUAGGACCACGCGCUUCAUGGUGUGUGGUGGAAAGCUUUUGCGGUGUGGGAUGGGCCCGCGGCCUAUCAGCUUGUUGGUGGGGUAAUGGCCUACCAAGGCGACGACGGGUAGCCGGCCUGAGAGGGUGACCGGCCACACUGGGACUGAGAUACGGCCCAGACUCCUACGGGAGGCAGCAGUGGGGAAUAUUGCACAAUGGGCGCAAGCCUGAUGCAGCGACGCCGCGUGAGGGAUGACGGCCUUCGGGUUGUAAACCUCUUUCAAUAGGGACGAAGCGCAAGUGACGGUACCUAUAGAAGAAGCACCGGCCAACUACGUGCCAGCAGCCGCGGUAAUACGUAGGGUGCGAGCGUUGUCCGGAAUUACUGGGCGUAAAGAGCUCGUAGGUGGUUUGUCGCGUUGUUCGUGAAAACUCACAGCUUAACUGUGGGCGUGCGGGCGAUACGGGCAGACUAGAGUACUGCAGGGGAGACUGGAAUUCCUGGUGUAGCGGUGGAAUGCGCAGAUAUCAGGAGGAACACCGGUGGCGAAGGCGGGUCUCUGGGCAGUAACUGACGCUGAGGAGCGAAAGCGUGGGGAGCGAACAGGAUUAGAUACCCUGGUAGUCCACGCCGUAAACGGUGGGUACUAGGUGUGGGUUCCUUCCUUGGGAUCCGUGCCGUAGCUAACGCAUUAAGUACCCCGCCUGGGGAGUACGGCCGCAAGGCUAAAACUCAAAGGAAUUGACGGGGGCCCGCACAAGCGGCGGAGCAUGUGGAUUAAUUCGAUGNCACGCGAAGAACCUUACCUGGGUUUG